rnacentral:rRNA from 1 species
GUAGUCUGCAACUCGACUACAUGAAGCUGGAAUCGCUAGUAAUCGCAGAUCAGAAUGCUGCGGUGAAUACGUUCCCGGGUCUUGUACACACCGCCCGUCACACCAUGGGAGUCGGAAAUGCCCGAAGCCGGUGACCCAACCAAAAGGAGGGAGCCGUCGAAGGCAGGUCUGAUAACUGGGGUGAAGUCGUAACAAGGUAAC